CUCAUCCGAUCUUCUUUCUCACCUAGUCAGUGCUGGAGUUUGGAUAGUUGUCCCAAUCCCUGUGAGACCUUCUAGUUCUUGCACGACUCGGAUCAAUUUCUUGGUCUAUGAUCGAUAGAGAUGAGUUUUUGGCAUAUUGAAAUCGGUCCCGAUUUUUGAUUGAUCCCCGAUAUGUUAAUACAUACAAGGCAGUAGUGGAAACUCCAUACAGUUGAUCUUUUGCAUCCGCUUCAAGAU
rnacentral:lncRNA from 1 species